CUACGGAGGGUGCAAGCGUUACGCGGAAUCACUGGGCGUAAAGCGCGCGCAGGCGGCUUGAUAAGUUGGAUGUGAAAGCCUACGGCUCAACCGUAGAACUGCAUCCAAAACUGUCAGGCUAGAGUGUGGGAGAGGAAGAUGGAAUUAGUUGUGUAGGGGUAAAAUCCGUAGAGAUAACUAGGAAUACCAAAAGCGAAGGCAAUCUUCUGGAACACUACUGACGCUGAGGCGCGAAAGCGUGGGGAGCAAACGGGAUUAGAUACCCUAGUAGUCC
rnacentral:rRNA from 1 species